AUGGUUUUCCAACAUAAAAACCACCAAAAAAUCGACCAAAAUGGCUGUUCGGUUUCCUUAACAGUCGUAUAUUAACAUUAUGAAUUUCUAUGAAACGAAGAAUCGGACUGGCAAAAACCAGCGU